UUUCAAUGCAUUUAUUGCGGAAGAAGGUUUUAUUCAAGCCAAGCAAUAGCAGCCCAUACGAGAUCUCACUUUAAAGAGGGUUGGGUAAAAGGAACCCCCCAAAGAAAGUUUUUUGUUUCAUUUUUUGAUUCUCAACAUGAUUCUACUCUCAUCUCAUCAAUUCCCCAAAACACCUCUGAUUCAGAAAAUCCUCAACAAUUGCCUCCAUCUGCAGCUUCUUCUAGUAGAGGCCAACUAGAAGUCCCUAGGUAUCAUUCGAGGCUUCUUGAUUCAAACAGUCUAUGUAUGUUCAAGGAUUCUCUUACCAAAGAGGAGGAAGAGGUUGUUUUGAUUCUUCGUGAUUUUUCGGAAACAGGGAAAAGAAUCAAGAAAGCAAAGCGCUGAGGUGGAGGUAAUUACAAACAAGAAUUUAGAAGCAGCAGCCAUGUUCAAAACUACCAAGAAUAUUUGAUAAUAUGGAUUAAACCUAUGAUAUAAUUUUUGAGUUGUACUUUUACUUUGAGAUGUUUGGUUUUCAAUGACAUGUAUUGUUAUAGUUCUGGUUUUGUAUGUAAUCAUUUAUUAGUACUGAAGUUUUUGCUUAAAUAUAAAACAAGGUUGGUUCAUUA